AUAACGAUUUAGAUUUGAGUUCCGACCCGGCAACCCGCACCCUUGAAACAAUUGACCUUUAUACGCAGCUUUUGUUCAUCCCCGAGUUGUCAAACAAAUCGCUGGUGGAAGAUUCUCGCUCCUUUUUUCAUUCGUCGUCUCCGGAGGAACUGGUAAUACAGAAGAGAGAGAGAGAGAGAGAGAGAAAUGGGUGGAGCCCAGGCGAUGAAGAGGAUACCUCGCAUCAAGUUUCCUCAGAGACACCCCAAACCUUCUGGUACUGAGCCUCAGACUCAAGGUUUGGCUGGUGAUUCUUCUCACACUUUCUUCUCAGGUUCAAGGGCGUCAACCACCUUGGGAGGAAAAGCUUCUGAACAACCCGAACGAACACCGUUGUCCAAAGAGGAGAUUGAGGCCAUUAUGUUGGGUGGCAUCAUCUGAACUUGUGUGGAGCUUCAAGAACAUAGGACUAUGUGUUGGAUGUUAUUUUGACAAUUUUUAAGCACCUGGAAGUAUCCAGAGUUUGACGUCUUUAUAUUGUUUGAAGAACAACCUAUUUGCUGAAGUCAAUGGUAAUAGACAACACAUUGAACAAUAAACAUGUGUUAUAAGAUGUGUUUUCCCUGGUUCAUGCAAUUGUCAAUGAAAGUAAUUGCCAUUUAAGCUACGAA